rnacentral:rRNA from 1 species
GACGAACGCUGGCGGCGUGCUUAACACAUGCAAGUCGAACGGAAAGGCCCUGCUUGCCGGGUACUCGAGUGGCGAACGGGUGAGUAACACGUGGGUGAUCUGCCCUGCACUUCGGGAUAAGCCUGGGAAACUGGGUCUAAUACCGGAUAGGAGCCAUUUUUAGUGUGAUGGUUGGAAAGUUUUUUCGGUGUAGGAUGAGCUCGCGGCCUAUCAGCUUGUUGGUGGGGUAAUGGCCUACCAAGGCGGCGACGGGUAGCCGGCCUGAGAGGGUGGACGGCCACAUUGGGACUGAGAUACGGCCCAGACUCCUACGGAGGCAGCAGUGGGGAAUAUUGCACAAUGGGCGCAAGCCUGAUGCAGCGACGCCGCGUGGGGGAUGACGGCCUUCGGGUUGUAAACUCCUUUCGCUAGGGACGAAGCUUUUUGUGACGGUACCUAGAUAAGAAGCACCGGCUAACUACGUG